rnacentral:rRNA from 1 species
AGAGUUUGAUCAUGGCUCAGAGCGAACGCUGGCGGCGUGCUUAACACAUGCAAGUCGAGUGCGCGGUUGUAGCAAUACAACUGGCGCACGGCGCACGGGUGAGUAACACGUGGGCAACCUGCCCUCCAAUGGGGGAUACCCCCGCGAAAGCGGGACUAAUACCGCAUGACAUUCCGAGGACUUCGGUUUUCGGACUCAAAGGCCGUAAGGUCGUUGGAGGAGGGGCCCGCGCCCGAUUAGCUAGUUGGUGAGGUAACGGCUCACCAAGGCUAUGAUCGGUAGCCGGUCUGAGAGGAUGGCCGGCCACACUGGAACUGAGACACGGUCCAGACUCCUACGGGAGGCAGCAGUGGGGAAUCUUGCGCAAUGGGCGAAAGCCUGACGCAGCGACGCCGCGUGGGGGAUGAAGCUUCUCGGAGUGUAAACCCCUUUCGACCCGGACGAAACGCCCGUAAGGGCUUGACGGUACGGGUAUAAGAAGCCCCGGCUAACUACGUGCCAGCAGCCGCGGUAAGACGUAGGGGGCCAGCGUUGCUCGGAAUUACUGGGCGUAAAGGGUUCGUAGGCGGUGCGGCAAGUCGGGAGUGAAAUCUCUGGGCUUAACCCAGAGGCUGCUUCCGAAACUGCCGUGCUAGAGUGCGGGAGAGGCGAGUGGAAUUGCAGGUGUAGCGGUGAAAUGCGUAGAUAUCUGCAGGAACACCCGUGGCGAAGGCGGCUCGCUGGACCGCAACUGACGCUGAGGAACGAAAGCUAGGGGAGCAAACAGGAUUAGAUACCCUGGUAGUCCUAGCCCUAAACCAUCAGGACUUGGGGUGCAUCCCGUUCGGGGUGCGUCCCGUAGCUAACGCGUUAAGUCCUGCGCCUGGGGAGUACGGUCCGCAAGGCUGAAACUCAAAGGAAUUGACGGGGGCCCGCACAAGCGGUGG